UCCCGCUUAGCUCAGUUGGUAGAGCGCGUCACUAGUACUAAGGGCCUGCUUGGCAAGUCAUGACGAGGUCAGUCGUUCGAGUCGGCUAGUGGGAA